rnacentral:rRNA from 1 species
GUGGGGAAUAUUGGACAAUGGGCGAAAGCCUGAUCCAGCCAUGCCGCGUGUGUGAAGAAGGUCUUCGGAUUGUAAAGCACUUUAAGUUGGGAGGAAGGGCAGUAAGUUAAUACCUUGCUGUUUUGACGUUACCGACAGAAUAAGCACCGGCUAACUUCGUGCCAGCAGCCGCGGUAAUACGAAGGGUGCAAGCGUUAAUCGGAAUUACUGUGCGUAAAGCGCGCGUAGGUGGUUUUGUAAGUUGGAGGUGAAAUCCCCGGGCUCAACCUGGGAACUGCCUCCAAAACUGCAUGACUAGAGUACGGUAGAAGGUAGUGGAAUUUCCUGUGUAGCGGUGAAAUGCGUAGAUAUAGGAAGGAACACCAGUGACGACGGCGACCACCUGGACUGAUACUGACACUGAGGUGCGAAAGCGUGGGGAGCAAACAGGAUUAGAAACCCUGGUAGUCC